UACGGAGGGAGCAAGCGUUACUCGGGAUUAUUGGGCGUAAAGGGCGCGUAGGCGAUCUGACAAGUCUGGUGUGAAAGCCCACAUGUUAACUGUGGAAGUGCAUUAGAAACUGUUGGAUUUGAGUUCAGGAGAGGAAGGCAGAAUUCCCGGUGUAGCGGUGAAAUGCGUAGAGAUCGGGAGGAAUACCAGUGGCGAAGGCGGCCUUCUGGACUGACACUGACGCUGAGGCGCGAAAGCCAGGGGAGCGAACGGG
rnacentral:rRNA from 1 species